rfam:Agrobacterium vitis S4 chromosome 1, complete sequence.
GGGCCUGUAGCUCAAUGGUUAGAGCCGGCGGCUCAUAACCGCUUGGUUGGGAGUUCGAGUCUCUCCAGGCCCA